AAAUUGAAGAGUUUGAUCAUGGCUCAGAUUGAACGCUGGCGGCAGGCCUAACACAUGCAAGUCGAGCGGAAACGAGUUAUCUGAACCUUCGGGGAACGAUAAUGGCGUCGAGCGGCGGACGGGUGAGUAAUGCCUAGGAAAUUGCCCUGAUGUGGGGGAUAACCAUUGGAAACGAUGGCUAAUACCGCAUGAUGCCUACGGGCCAAAGAGGGGGACCUUCGGGCCUCUCGCGUCAGGAUAUGCCUAGGUGGGAUUAGCUAGUUGGUGAGGUAAGGGCUCACCAAGGCGACGAUCCCUAGCUGGUCUGAGAGGAUGAUCAGCCACACUGGAACUGAGACACGGUCCAGACUCCUACGGGAGGCAGCAGUGGGGAAUAUUGCACAAUGGGCGCAAGCCUGAUGCAGCCAUGCCGCGUGUGUGAAGAAGGCCUUCGGGUUGUAAAGCACUUUCAGUCGUGAGGAAGGUGGUGUAGUUAAUAGCUGCAUU
rnacentral:rRNA from 1 species